GCCCCUGUGGCCUAAUGGAUAAGGCAUCGGUUUCCUAAACCGGGGAUUGUGGGUUCGAGUCCCACCAGGGGUA